AUACGGAGGGUCCAAGCGUUAUCCGGAAUCAUUGGGUUUAAAGGGUCCGCAGGCGGUCAAUUAAGUCAGAGGUGAAAGCCCAUCGCUCAACGAUGGAACUGCCUUUGAUACUGGUUGACUUGAGUUAUACGGAAGUAGAUAGAAUAAGUAGUGUAGCGGUGAAAUGCAUAGAUAUUACUUAGAAUACCGAUUGCGAAGGCAGUCUACUACGUAUGUACUGACGCUGAGGGACGAAAGCGUGGGGAGCGAACAGGAUUAGAUACCCUAGUAGUCC
rnacentral:rRNA from 1 species